rnacentral:rRNA from 1 species
GACGAACGCUGGCGGCGUGCUUAACACAUGCCAGUCGAACGGAAAGGCCCUGCUUUUGUGGGGUGCUCGAGUGGCGAACGGGUGAGUAACACGUGAGUAACCUGCCCUUGACUUUGGGAUAACUUCAGGAAACUGGGGCUAAUACCGGAUAGGAGCUCCUGCUGCAUGGUGGCGGUCGGAAAGUUUCGGCGGUUGGGGAUCGACUCUCGGCUUAUCAGCUUGUGGGUUGGGGAGUGGCUUACGAAGGCUUUGACGGGUAGCCGGCCUGAGAGCGUGACCGGCCACAUUGGGACUGAGAUACGGCCCAGACUGCAAAGGGAGACAGCGGCGGGGAAUAUUGCACAAUGGGCGGAAGCCUGAUGAAGCGAAGCCGCGUGCGGAAUGACGGCCUUCGGGUUGUAAACCGCUUUAGCCUGUGACGAAGCGUGAGUGACGGUAAUGGGUAAAGAAGCACCGGCUAACUACGUG